rnacentral:pre_miRNA from 1 species
UCUAAUGGAUGAGCAAAGAAAGUAGCCUCUUGAGAUUGAACCUACUCUUGGUGACGAUGUUGUGAA